GGUCCCACCCUUCAGAGCUUCAUCUCAAAGGCCACUUCUUCCAAGGAGCUGUCCCUGAUUCUCCCAGGUGAGUUUGAACUCUCCUUUUCUGCAGCCUCAGCACUACUUGGAUGGAAUUGUCCACUUUAGUCGUAUUUGUAUACCUCUCCAAUCCUGCUCUCUGCCCACCUCUCUCACAUAUGCAAUGGCCUGGGAGCUCCUUUAAAGGGACGCCGAGCCAGAACUAGUAUGGCACAGAGUGACGACGAACAUUUCCUUUUGACCUCUGCCUGGGCUGCUCCCGUUUCCUAGAACUCUUACCUCCACCUGACUACAUCCUACUGACCCUUCAAGUCAUGGUCAGACGUUGCCUCCUCCAGGAAGCCCUCCUGGCUUUUCCACUGGACAGGGAAGCCAGGUCACGAUGUUACGGAGAGCCACUUCCGGGUGAGACCAGAAGGGGCAAGCAUCGUGCUCAAGGUAACACAGCCAAGCGGCGGCUCCUCACCAGGGCUCUGUGCCAUCCGUUGCCCCGCUCCCCCCACCUGGCAGCCUCCCGGCUCUGGCCAAAUAACCCGCCCCAGGCCCCGGGGACGCAGCGCCAGAGGGAGGUAACAAUAAAAGCUUAUCAAACAGCAUGUAGGAGGCAGCCACAGAUUUCAGAGGCUAAGUAAUCUGUGUCUAAUGUUCACUUAGCAGAGCGUGAGCCUCUGACAUGUCAGCGCUCGCGGUCUGACCCUGCAGUGGCCGGAGCUUUUGAAGCUGAGGGAAACGGAGUCAUCCUGCGUUCCUAGAGCUUUCUA